GCCGCCGUAGCUCAACUGGCAGAGCAGCGCCCCUGUAAGGCGACGGUUGGGGGUUCAAUUCCGCCCGGCGGCUCCA
rnacentral:tRNA from 1 species